GACAGAGGGGGCAAGCGUUGCUCGGAAUCAUUGGGCGUAAAGGGUGCGUAGGCGGCGCGGUAAGUCGGGUGUGAAAUCUCGGAGCUUAACUCCGAAACUGCAUUCGAUACUGCCGUGCUUGAGGACUGGAGAGGAGACUGGAAUUUACGGUGUAGCGGUGAAAUGCGUAGAUAUCGUAAGGAAGACCAGUGGCGAAGGCGGGUCUCUGGACAGUUCCUGACGCUGAGGCACGAAGGUCAGGGGAGCAAACGGG
rnacentral:rRNA from 1 species